UAGGGAAUCUUCCACAAUGGACGCAAGUCUGAUGGAGCAACGCCGCGUGAGUGAAGAAGGUCUUCGGAUCGUAAAGCUCUGUUGUUGGUGAAGAAGGAUAGAGGCAGUAACUGGUCUUUAUUUGACGGUAAUCAACCAGAAAGUCACGGCUAACUACGUGCCAGCAGCCGCGGUAAUACGUAGGUGGCAAGCGUUGUCCGGAUUUAUUGGGCGUAAAGCGAGCGCAGGCGGAAUGAUAAGUCUGAUGUGAAAGCCCACGGCUCAACCGUGGAACUGCAUCGGAAACUGUCAUUCUUGAGUGCAGAAGAGGAGAGUGGAACUCCAUGUGUAGCGGUGGAAUGCGUAGAUAUAUGGAGGAACACCAGUGGCGAAGGCGGCUCUCUGGUCUGCAACUGACGCUGAGGCUCGAAAGCAUGGGUAGCGAACAGGAUUAGAUACCCUGGUAGUCCAUGCCGUAAACGAUGAGCGCUAGGUGUUGGGGACUUUCCGGUCCU
rnacentral:rRNA from 1 species